rnacentral:rRNA from 1 species
GUACACGCUGUGACUAGCAUAUCAAUAAGCGGAGGAAAAGAAACUAACAAGGAUUCCCUUAGUAACGGCGAGUGAAGCGGGAAGAGCUCAAAUUUGAAAUCUUCAAGGUUUUACCUUGACGAAUUGUAGUUUAAAGAAGUGUUUUCUGCUGAAGUUUUGGUAAAAGUUCUUUGGAAUAGGACAUCAUAGAGGGUGAGAAUCCCGUAUUUGACCAUUAUUUUCAGCUUUGUGAUACACUUUCAAAGAGUCGGAUUGUUUGGGAAUGCAGUCCAAAAUGGGUGGUAAAUUUCAUCUAAAGCUAAAUAUUGGCGAGAGACCGAUAGCGAACAAGUACCGUGAGGGAAAGAUGAAAAGAACUUUGAAAAGAGAGUUAAACAGUACGUGAAAUUGUCAAAAGGGAAGCGUUUGACACCAGUGUUGUUUUCUGAAAAUCAACCUCUGUUAGCUUUAUGCAUGUUUGUUUAGACUUAAUCAGCUAUCUUGCAUGUUCUAUUGUUUGCAGUGGUGCACUUUUCAGUUUACAGGUCAACAUCAGUUUUUUUUACCGUAAAAAAGUUAAAGAAAGGUAGCUCAUGGCUCCGGUCGUGAGUGUUAUAGUCUUUUUCCUAUGCGGUAGGAGAGACUGAGGUCUGCAGUGUAGGCUAUUUGGCUAGAUACUCAGGUGCUAUGUGAUACCAUUUCAUAAACAACUUGUUGAUUAUGUUUUGUCUAUUGCAUACUCGCUUGUACUAUCAUACCUACGCUUAGGAUGUUGAGUAGCGACAUACGCAC